rnacentral:rRNA from 1 species
GACGAACGCUGGCGGCGUGCUUAACACAUGCAAGUCGAGCCGAAAGGCCCUUCGGGGUCCUCGAGCGGCGAACGGGUGAGUAACACGUGAGUAAUCUGCCCUUGGCUUUGGGAUAACUACCGGAAACGGUGGCUAAUACCGGAUACGACAACCGUCUGCAUGGGCUGGUUGUGGAAAGUUUUUUCGGCCAGGGAUGUGCUCGCGGCCUAUCAGCUUGUUGGUGGGGGAAUGGCCUACCAAGGCUUCGACGGGUAGCCGGCCUGAGAGGGUGACCGGCCACACUGGGACUGAGACACGGCCCAGAAUCCUACGGGAGGCAGCAGUGGGGAAUAUUGGACAAUGGGCGGAAGCCUGAUCCAGCAACGCCGCGUGAGGGAUGACGGCCUUCGGGUUGUAAACCUCUUUCAGUACCGACGAAGCGCCGAUGAUGGUGGUGACGGUAGGUACAGAAGAAGCACCGGCCAACUACGUG